rnacentral:rRNA from 1 species
ACACGACGUCGAGCAUCUACGGAUGUGAAGUCAUUGAUGCCAUGCUUCCAGGAAAAGCCUCUAAGCUUCAGAUUGUAAGGAAUCGUACCCCAAACCGACACAGGUGGUCGGGUAGAGAAUACCAAGGCGCUUGAGAGAACUCGGGUGAAGGAACUAGGCAAAAUGGUACCGUAACUUCGGGAGAAGGUACGCUCUCGACGGUGAAGUCCCUUGCGGAUGGAGCUAUUGAGAGUCGCAGAUACCAGGUGGCUGCAACUGUUUAUUAAAAACACAGCACUGUGCAAAAUCGUAAGAUGACGUAUACGGUGUGACGCCUGCCCGGUGCCGGAAGGUUAAUUGAUGGGGUUAGACUUCGGUCGAAGCUCUUGAUCGAAGCCCCGGUAAACGGCGGCCGUAACUAUAACGGUCCUAAGGUAGCGAAAUUCCUUGUCGGGUAAGUUCCGACCUGCACGAAUGGCGUAAUGAUGGCCACGCUGUCUCCACCCGAGACUCAGUGAAAUUGAAAUCGCUGUGAAGAUGCAGUGUACCCGCGGCUAGACGGAAAGACCCCGUGAACCUUUACUACAGCUUGGCACUGAACAUUGACCCUACAUGUGUAGGAUAGGUGGGAGGCUUUGAAGCACGUACGCCAGUAUGUGUGGAGCCGUCCUUGAAAUACCACCCUUGUAGUGUUGAUGUUCUAACGUCGACCCCUAAUCGGGGUUGCGGACAGUGCCUGGUGGGUAGUUUGACUGGGGCGGUCUCCUCCCAAAGAGUAACGGAGGAGCACGAAGGUGGGCUAAUCACGGUUGGACAUCGUGAGGUUAGUGCAAUGGCAUAAGCCCGCUUGACUGCGAGAAUGACAAUUCGAGCAGGUGCGAAAGCAGGUCAUAGUGAUCCGGUGGUUCUGAAUGGAAGGGCCAUCGCUCAACGGAUAAAAGGUACUCCGGGGAUAACAGGCUGAUACCGCCCAAGAGUUCAUAUCGACGGCGGUGUUUGGCACCUCGAUGUCGGCUCAUCACAUCCUGGGGCUGAAGUCGGUCCCAAGGGUAUGGCUGUUCGCCAUUUAAAGUGGUACGCGAGCUGGGUUUAGAACGUCGUGAGACAGUUCGGUCCCUAUCUGCCGUGGGCGUUGGAAGAUUGAAGGGGGCUGCUCCUAGUACGAGAGGACCGGAGUGGACGAACCUCUGGUGUUCGGGUUGUGUCGCCAGACGCAUUGCCCGGUAGCUAAGUUCGGAAUCGAUAACCGCUGAAAGCA